UACGUAGGGGGCUAGCGUUGUCCGGAAUCAUUGGGCGUAAAGAGCGCGUAGGCGGCCAGAUAAGUCCGGUGUAAAAAGUCCAGGGCUCAACCCUGGAAAGCCGGUGGAUACUGUCGGGCUAGAGUCCGGAAGAGGCGAGUGGAAUUCCUGGUGUAGCGGUGGAAUGCGCAGAUAUCAGGAGGAACACCGAUGGCGAAGGCAGCUCGCUGGGACGGUACUGACGCGUGAGGCGCGAAAGCGUGGGGAGCGAACAGG
rnacentral:rRNA from 1 species